AAUGAACGCUGGCGGCAGGCCUAAAACAUGCAAGUCGAACGCUCUAGCAAUAGAGAGUGGCGCACGGGUGAGUAACACGUGGGAAUAUGCCUUUUGGUACGGAACAACGUCUGGAAACGGACGCUAAUACCGUAUGGUCCCUCCGGGGUAAAGAUUUAUCGCCAAAAGAUUAGCCCGCGUCUGAUUAGCUAGUUGGUGAGGUAAUGGCUCACCAAGGCGACGAUCAGUAGCUGGUCUGAGAGGACGAUCAGCCACACUGGGACUGAGACACGGCCCAGACUCCUACGGGAGGCAGCAGUUAGGAAUAUUGGACAAUGGGCGCAAGCCUGAUCCAGCCAUGCCGCGUGAGUGAUGAAGGCCUUCGGGUUGUAAAGCUCUUUAGUCCACGAAUAUAAUGACUGUAGUGGAAGAAUAAGCCCCGGCUAACUUCGUACCAGCAGCCGCGGUAACAC
rnacentral:rRNA from 1 species